rnacentral:rRNA from 1 species
CCCUUAGAUGUUCUGGGCUGCACACGUGCUACACUGGCAGGUUCAGCGAGCUUCAUGCCCUGAUCUGAAAGGAAUGGGAAAUCUUUUCAAAACCUGCCGUGCUUGGGAUAGAUGUUUGCAAUUAUUCAUCUUCAACGAGGAUUGCCUUGUAAGCGCACGUCAUCAGCGUGCAUUGAAUACGACCCUGUAUUCUGAACACACCGCCCGUCGCUCCUACCGAUUGAAGUUUUCGGUGAGUUGACAGGAGGAUUUUUUUGAAACUGGUUCGCCAGUGGAUUUUAGAUCCAAAUGCCAACGAAUCGAUGGCUUUAGAGGAAGGAGAAGUCGUAACA